UACAGAGGUGUCAAACGUUGUCCGGAAUUAUUGGGCGUAAAGGGCGCGUAGGCGGUUGGAUAAGUCAGCUGUGAAAUCACCGGGCUCAACCCGGUAAUUGCAUUUGAUACUGUCUAGCUUGAGUUGGGUAGAGGAGGGCGGAAUUCCCGGUGUAGCGGUGAAAUGCGUAGAUAUCGCUUGGAACGCCGACGGUGAAAACAGCUCGCUGGGGGUCUUCUGACGCUGAGACACGAAAGCCAGGGGAGCGAACGGG
rnacentral:rRNA from 1 species